rnacentral:rRNA from 1 species
UGGGGAAUAUUGCACAAUGGGCGCAAGCCUGAUGCAGCCAUGCCGCGUGUGUGAAGAAGGCCUUCGGGUUGUAAAGCACUUUCAGCGGGGAGGAAGGCGUUAAGGUUAAUAACCUUGGCGAUUGACGUUACCCGCAGAAGAAGCACCGGCUAACUCCGUGCCAGCAGCCGCGGUAAUACGGAGGGUGCAAGCGUUAAUCGGAAUUACUGGGCGUAAAGCGCACCCAGGCGGUCUGUCAAGUCGGAUGUGAAAUCCCCGGGCUCAACCUGGGAACUGCAUUCGAAACUGGCAGGCUAGAGUCUUGUAGAGGGGGGUAGAAUUCCAGGUGUAGCGGUGAAAUGCGUAGAGAUCUGGAGGAAUACCGGUGGCGAAGGCGGCCCCCUGGACAAAGACUGACGCUCAGGUGCGAAAGCGUGGGGAGCAAACAGG